rnacentral:lncRNA from 1 species
GUUUCGGGUUCUCGUGGGUAGCUCCAGUUCGUAGCAGUGUGAGGUUUUUUGGUCGUUUUAGUAAUGAUAGUGGGCCUUAUCACAGUUUGGAUCUUCAGCUAUGGCUUCUCCUCCUCUAUACCAAGAUUGAUUUUGAUUCAGCUAGAAAUUCAGUUGACUCUGGGAACCAAAUCAAAGAAAGAAAUAAGGAAGGAUAAAGUACAAAACAAUAAGAGGAGAAGAAGAUGGAAACUGAAUUGAAAUUCAAUCCACUUAUCAACAAAGAUUCCAGAGAUUAUAGAUGAUCGCCUUCUUCACACAAGGAUUGUAUAAAUAUUUAUAUACGCCAACAAUGAGAGUGUGUUCCCAAUUUGCAAAAUAGAAAAAGCAUAAAAGGCCUAAUUACAAUUAAUAUAAUGCCUAAAACGACGUCACCUCCACUUCAAGUAUCAAUUAAUACAGUUAGCUUCCUUAUUCUUCCUCAUUGAUCUGGUCUUUUUCGUUCCCCAUUGAUUUCUCUAUUGAUUCUUCUCCUGACAACCUUUUUCCUCACUUUGAUCUUGUCUCCAAGAUAUACAGAGAGAUAUUUUUAUUGAAUCCAUUCAGCAUCCUCCCACUUUGAAUUGUCUGUGGGUAAAUCUGACCAUUUAAUAAGCUAUUAUUUUGCUGUGUGAUUCCAUUUGUUUACCACUCUGGUUUGUAAUAUGGCUUGAGGAAGG